rnacentral:tRNA from 1 species
UCGUCGCGCUGGCGUUGACCAACGUCUAUCUUUCGCGCAAGCGAUUGAUGGCACAGGUUCGCCCGUAAUGGGGGAAAGCGGGCCGCAGGCCCAGGCGCAACACCCUGGUGGACCGGAAAUCCAGGCGCAAAGCCUCACUCACGAUGAAUCUGCCUCUGUUUGCGCCCAAAUCGAUGAAUACAACGGCUUGUUCAGCGUUGCCUUAAAUUCGCUUACGAUUUGAGAUCGGACCAGUGAUCAGCAAAGAACAAGGAUAUCGGUGUUCAAGGCGGAUUAAGAUUUACGCGGAUAGUCGAACGAAGCGGUCCGCGUAGAUUUUAUGCUGCAAUGGAAUUUCAUUCGAAUCGGAGAUGCCUUGCGUCCGCCAGUGGAAAUGCAGAAAACGCAAUCACACUAUACUCGGCGUAGCUAAACCGUGGCGCCAGAGAAUGGGAAAACGUCCGCCCCAGCCUUGAGUUUUUCCAGAUAGUCAGCCCACUUUUGCAUCAUGACAGUGCGGUCGUCGAUAAACUUGGUCCGGUUGUAGGCAGUGCCCAGCGCAUCUGGAACCUUAUGCGCGAGUUGAUGCUCGAUGACUUCACUCGAGAAGCGCAGUUGUUCGUGGAGAAUCGUGCGCGCCAUCGCACGAAAGUCAUGCCCCGUGAUUUCGGUCUUUGUAUCAAAGCCAAGUCGCCUCAAAGCAGCAUUGAUGGCUGCGCCGCUCAUCGGCUUUUUGACGUCUCGAGCUGGAAAUACAUACUGGCGAUGACCAGUAAGCGCAUGCAGCUCGCGCAGAAUUGCGGUGGCCUGAUUUGCCAAGGGCAUAAGAUGCUCACUCUUCGCCUUGGAGACCGUGUAACGCCAUUGCUUUUGUCAAGAUCAAACUGAGCCCACAGCCGUCCUCAGCUCGCCGGGCCGGACGAACAACAAUGGCACCAACCGAAGAGCGCACUACACAAACGAACGUGCCCCUUAAACUGUCGAGUGUCCGCAAAGGCGAUGCCACAUCGGAAGGUUCAGUCACGGAAGCGAAAUAUGUGUGACGGGCUGCCGGCAAUGCUCCGCGCAGGUCAGCGCUCACAUCUCGCUCUGCCCGUCCGGUUGCUACGGCGUAGCGGUUCUGAUCUGAUGGACUCGAUGCGCUGUGUCGAGCGCACCGCGGGCCUCGACCCUUCGCAGGACUGCCAGACUUCCGGUGCUUUGAUUUCCGCUAUCGCCCUGCUCCCAACCAAGGGAAAGCCUCGUUCUCUAACCACGCCAUGAUCUUGUCGGCAUGACUCGCGGCCCAGCCGGACGCAUGCCUCGCAAACCAUUCACUCGCAACUGCUUCGAAGCUAUUAGCAGCACGCUCAACAUUCGCCGCCUUCUGUACUUUUCUACUUUUCGUUCGAUACCGGAUCAAUGCCAUUAGCAAGGAGCCUGCGAGCCUCGUCGCGGCGCACUCGUGCCUCUUUUGGGCCGACGUCCUGGUAGACACCAAGUGUCAGCCGCUUCUCCUGGCCCGCGAAUCGAUACUUGAAUCGCCAAUAUUUUCCAUUCGCAGGGGAAAUUUCGAGAUACAUGCCCAAGCCAUCCGUGAGGCGGUAAGCUUGCUCGCGCAGGCGAAGGUUGCGGACUUCCAAAUCGGUGAGGGGCAUUCAGGUCUCCGUGGGGGCACUAUGGGCAUCAACAAUGCCCAUAGUGCCCCCGGAUGUCAAUGGAUGUCCUGGACAUCAAUUAAAACAAAAAACCCCAAGCCUUCGCAGCUGGGGGGGCAGGACUUUCUCGGACAACUUCGGAUGUUCUGUUGGUGGAGAGGAGGAGGAUCGAACUCCCGACCUUCGCAUUGCGAACGCGACGCUCUCCCAGCUGAGCUACCCCCCC